rnacentral:rRNA from 1 species
CGACGCUCUCCCCAAGGACACAAGCCAUGCAUGCCCGCACACCCGGGACGCGGCGGACGGCUCAGGACAACGGUUGCACCCCCCGCGGCGGUCACUGCUAGCCGGACACCGCUGGCAACCCGGCGCCAAGACGUGCGUGCAAGUGCGGGCGCCCGCGGGCGAGCAGCGUGACGCAGA